rnacentral:tRNA from 1 species
GGGCUGGGGCUCAGUGGUAGAGCGCUCGCCUAGCACAUGUGAGGCCCUGGGUUCGAUCCCCAGCACCACA